AAUCCAUAGGUUAAUGAGGCGAACCGGGGGAACUGAAACAUCUAAGUACCCCGAGGAAAAGAAAUCAACCGAGAUUCCCCCAGUAGCGGCGAGCGAACGGGGAGGAGCCCAGAGCCUGAAUCAGCAUGUGUGUUAGUGGAAGCGUCUGGAAAGGCGCGCGAUACAGGGUGACAGCCCCGUACACAAAAGCGCAUGUGCUGUGAGCUCGAUGAGUAGGGCGGGACACGUGGUAUCCUGUCUGAAUAUGGGGGGACCAUCCUCCAAGGCUAAAUACUCCUGACUGACCGAUAGUGAACCAGUACCGUGAGGGAAAGGCGAAAAGAACCCCGGCGAGGGGAGUGAAAAAGAACCUGAAACCGUGUACGUACAAGCAGUGGGAGCCCCACCACCAAAGCAUUCUCUGGUGUUGAAGGCCCUGCAAAGCAGCAUCGCGGUGGCGGAGCGUCGUUUGCGACGCCCAACACACAAAACAAGCGGUGAGUGCUUUGGGGUGGGGUGACUGCGUACCUUUUGUAUAAUGGGUCAGCGACUUAUAUUCUGUAGCAAGGUUAACCGAAUAGGGGAGCCGGAGGGAAACCGAGUCUUAACCGGGCGUUAAGUUGCAGGGUAUAGACCCGAAACCCGGUGAUCUAGCCAUGGGCAGGUUGAAGGUUGGGUAACACUAACUGGAGGACCGAACCGACUAAUGUUGAAAAAUUAGCGGAUGACCUGUGGCUGGGGGUGAAAGGCCAAUCAAACCGGGAGAUAGCUGGUUCUCCCCGAAAGCUAUUUAGGUAGCGCCUCGUGAAUUCAUCUCCGGGGGUAGAGCACUGUUUCGGCUAGGGGGCCAUCCCGGCUUACCAACCCGAUGCAAACUGCGAAUACCGGAGAAUGUUAUCACGGGAGACACACGGCGGGUGCUAACGUCCGUCGUGAAGAGGGAAACAACCCAGACCGCCAGCUAAGGUCCCAAAGUCAUGGUUAAGUGGGAAACGAUGUGGGAAGGCCCAGACAGCCAGGAUGUUGGCUUAGAAGCAGCCAUCAUUUAAAGAAAGCGUAAUAGCUCACUGGUCGAGUCGGCCUGCGCGGAAGAUGUAACGGGGCUAAACCAUGCACCGAAGCUGCGGCAGCGAACGUAUCACCCAAGACAACUUUACGGAGUUGACGAUUGACGGAGCGAAGCGACGUCAAAGCGUAUACAAAGUCGAGUUGGCUUAGGGAUACGUUCGUUGGGUAGGGGAGCGUUC
rnacentral:rRNA from 1 species